rnacentral:rRNA from 1 species
CAGAUUGAACGCUGGCGGCAGGCCUAACACAUGCAAGUCGAGCGGUAGAGAGGUGCUUGCACCUCUUGAGAGCGGCGGACGGGUGAGUAAUGCCUAGGAAUCUGCCUAGUGGUGGGGGAUAACGUUCGGAAACGGACGCUAAUACCGCAUACGUCCUACGGGAGAAAGCGGGGGACCUUCGGGCCUCGCGCCAUUAGAUGAGCCUAGGUCGGAUUAGCUAGUUGGUGAGGUAAUGGCUCACCAAGGCGACGAUCCGUAACUGGUCUGAGAGGAUGAUCAGUCACACUGGAACUGAGACACGGUCCAGACUCCCA